rnacentral:rRNA from 1 species
CAGUAGCCGCGGUAAUACGUAGGUGGCAAGCGUUGUCCGGAAUUAUUGGGCGUAAAGGGCUCGCAGGCGGUUUCUUAAGUCUGAUGUGAAAGCCCCCGGCUCAACCGGGGAGGGUCAUUGGAAACUGGGAAACUUGAGUGCAGAAGAGGAGAGUGGAAUUCCACGUGUAGCGGUGAAAUGCGUAGAGAUGUGGAGGAACACCAGUGGCGAAGGCGACUCUCUGGUCUGUAACUGACGCUGAGGAGCGAAAGCGUGGGGAACGAACAGGAUUAGAUACCCCUGUAGUCCCUGUCUCUUAUAC